AGCUGUUCCAGUGUGCACCAUGUCCUAAUCCUGAAGAUGAAGAAAUUUGGGGGCUGAAUCACAAUUCCUGCCUGUUUUUGUUGUGUCGUGAAGCUUAUUCUUUAAUGCAUUUCUUAACUCUUCAGGAAGAAGAAACUCUGUCCAGCAGCAAGCUGCUGAGCUCCCAAGAGCCUGCUCGUCAGGAACUUCAGAGUCCUGAAGACAGCUUGAGUGAGCCAUCGCAGGAGGAGCAAGACACUGAAAACCAAGAAGGCAGUACAGAGGAUUCUUCUAGACAGCUGUGUCUCUGUCCUGAGACAAGAACAUCCCUCUCUUCAGGAGCCUCUGAAGAAGACAAUGACUCUGACUUGAAAGAGAGCAGAAGAUUUUUGCAGGUAUGACAUCAGCAUCCCCCUACAUCUCAGAAGAUAGCAGCUGUCAUGCUCUGACAUGGUUUAGGGGUACCCACUGAUAGGGUUCAGAAGACUUUCUUCUCUUUAUCCUGAGCCUUUCCUGCCUCACCAUCACUGCCCCCUGCCCCAUACUUAGUUCACUCCUCUAGCUUCCUGGUGGAAGGGCUUUAUUCUCAAAGCACCCAAAUGAGAAAGAGCUGCGGGAUGCCUCCGGGGUGUCUCCACCAACACAUCCUGCGCCCACAGGCUCCGGAGCCUCAUUUAAUCUCUGACCCUUCCCCACGGACCUUGCCUGAGCUACGCCACAGGGGGCCUGUGCCCGACCUUGCUGAUUCUGCCCUUGCCUUGCCCACCUGAUUUCCUGGCUUGCCCGUGACCUGCCUCGUCGCUAUGGGCUUGCUGGCAACUGCCAAAGUGUCAGCUGGCCCUGGUUACUGUCACCACUGUUAUGGAAAUUAGGCUUGUCGGCCACCAUAACAGGGCUCGACCCUAGGUUCCCGCAAGUAAAGUUCAGAGCCAAAUCAAAACAAAUUAAAUUUUAAUCACGCGCGUGCCAUAAUUACAGCUCGAGCUGGGUGCCUCCUAAGAGGGACCCUAACAUAAACAAAUCCUGGGCAAUUACAGUUUUUUCAACUUACAUUUCCCACCCCUCACGCGAUAGUUAGACCAAUAGUAAUUUUUUGGCCUGGGGUCUCCUGCUCCUCAUUGGGUCUCAUCGUCAUUCUGAGGUAAGCUGUUUUUCUCCUUAUUUUUGUUUUUUGCGGUCUCUGAUGACGGUUGUACCUCUGUUUUUGUUGGGUCUUACUGUUGUGUCUUAAGGUCCUGAGGAGGAGGUGAUUCUAAAUCAUAACAAUUAACACUGCCCCAGCAGUGAGCUGAGGCUUUGUCCCUCAAGGUCCUAAUGCCCUGCGCUGGUCUUCUUUCAAAGCCUUGACACCCUCCCUUUCGGGGUGUGAGAUACAUUCCUGCAGACACCCUCCCUUUCGGGGUGUGAGAGGCAGGAAUGCAGACUGCUUGUAACUUCCUUAUCUUCCUAGCUUGAACCAGCUCUGAGGCCCUUUUCUUACUGGACUAAGUAAAAGUUCAUUAUUUUAUCUAAGUGCGGCCUAAGGCUUCAGCAAAUUUAGCUACUCAUGCUAAGCAAAUGUUAUAGAAGUUGUGCUAAGCAGCUACCUCUAGACAGUUUCAGUUUGCUAUUCUUUAACAGUUCCCCCCUUUGUUUUUAUGAAGCAUCCCUGCUAAUACUUUAAACAGAGUUCUCAAAGCCUUGCAAGGCGUACUAUCACGUUCCAUAAUCUUAUGCAUGAUAUGAUCGUAAGCAAUAGGCAUAACACAGUUAAAGUUAGCACAACUACUACUGGGUGCAACACAUGAUUAUAAACGCUGUUGUAGUUGGUGACCACCCUAGAAGAGUUUCCCAGCCAUGAUGUUCUCCGUCCCUUUUUAUCCUUUCCGAGACGUGGUGUAUCUCUUCCGCAUCAUGACGAAUGGUGAUUAGAGUUUUCUGUCCACUGUUUCGGAUGCGUUCUAGCAGUCAACGCAAAUCAUCAUGUUAUAGUAGUUUCUUUACCAGGGUGAGAUUCAUCCCAAUGGGGGUAGGUAGUAAAUUUUGAAUUAAUGUAUGAGUAGAUUGUAACAAUUGAUAAGAUCUAAUAGGAGCUGAAUAAUUAAAGUCGCAUCCCAUAAUCUUGGGUAAAGUUACAAAUACAAAUAUUUGAGUGAUGACUUGUAUCUACAGCAAUGUUAUCUAUGAAUAUAAGAUUACUAAGUGUUCUUACACAUACACAUCCUUUUUUAACAUAUACAAGUACAGUUCAACUUUAGCAGCAAAAGAAGAACAUAGUAUGACAGUAUAUGGCCUGUUCCAUUUAGGUUUUAACUUGGAUUUUUGUGAAAAUACUUUAACUAAAACUUCAUCCCCAGGCUGUAUACCAAGCACUUGUAUGUCAGGUGGUGUGGAUUGAUAUCAUUGAGCAUAUAUAUAUAUAUACAUUUUUUUUUUUAAGAUUUUCAAACCUUUUUGCAUACUUAGAACAUACUGGGUUAGUCGUUCAUCUCUGUCUAACAGGCUGGUCUUAGCUGGAAUAAUAAGUCCCUAGUACAGCUAAAUGUCUCCCGAAGAGAAUUUCUGCUGGUGUUAUCCUAUGGGUUGCCAUGGGACAUUUCAAACAUGCCAUAGAGCUAAGUUUAAUGCUUCUGGCCAUUUUAGGCUAGCACGUGUGCAUAUUCUUGCUAUUUUUUCUUUUAAUGUUCUAUUCAUUCUUUCUACUUGUCCUGAAGAUUGUGGGUGAUAAGGGGUACAUAGGUUUCUUUUUAUUCCUAAUGAUUUAUAUAACUGAGUGAUUAUGCUGGCCGUGAAAUGGGCACCCCUAUCUGAAUCAAUGGCUUCUGGGACCCCAUACCUAGGUAUGAGUUCUUUCAGUAAGGCUUUUACCACUCCCCCUGUGUCGGCCUUUCUUGUUGGGAAAGCUUCUACCCAGCCUGAUAACUGAUCUACUAUCACUAACAAGUAUUUGCACCCAUUGGCGGAUGGCAUAUCCGCAUCAUCUAUUUGCAGCUUUUGGAAAGGGAAGUCAGCCCAUGGUCGCCUCCCCUAAAUCUGAGCUUGGCUUGUUAUUUGAAAACUUCUGGCAGGUCGGGCAGCUAUCUGUUAUUCUUUUAGCAGCUGCAUAAAUUCCUGGAGCAGCCCAUACUUUCUGUACCUGCUUAGCUAUUGCCUCGGCUCUCCCAUGAGCUUUAUCGUGAAACCACCUAGCUAUAGUAAUUAAAUAUUUUUUUUGGUAGAAUUGGUUUUCCUCCAAUUGUCCAUAUUCCAUCAUCACUUUGUUUUGCUUCCCACUGCUCCCACUGUUUUUUCUCUUCCACUGAGCAGUCUUUUUCAUACAUAGUUUUGGGGUCUAUUAAGUUUGGCCACUCACUCUGGUCCAUCCUUGGAACUGCCCCCAUACAUUCUUUCAGAGGCUGUCGAGCUGCAGCUUUUGCAGCAGCGUCGGCUAAAGCAUUUCCUCUGCUAAUUUCUGUAGUGUCUUUAGUAUGGGCUGGGCAGUGUAUUACAGCAAUUUCUUUGGGCAGUUGAACUGCUUCCAGCAAAUUACGUAUUUCUUCUCCAUUAGCUAAUUUCUUUCCUGAUGACGAAAAGAAUCCUCGUUCUUUCCAUCACAUCCCUGUUGCGUGACAUACUCCAAAUGCAUAUUUAGAAUCGGUAUAGAUAUUUACCCGCAGGUUCUUACCUGUUUUUGCUGCUUGGGUCAUUUUUGAGUGUACGCGAAAAAAUAGUCGGAGACCCAGUAAAUCCCUGUGGCAGCCUCGUCCAAGUUAAUUGUUGUCCCUUCUAAGUGAAAGCAAAGAGAUCUUGGCUGUCUUCAGCUCUCAGUAUACUAAAAAAGGCUGCUGUUAGGUCAAUCACAGUAAAAUAAGUUGCCCAAUGAGGUAUUUGUAGUAAAAUGGUUGAGGGGUCGGGAACUACUGAAUGUGGAGCAACUACAUGUUGGAUUAUAGCCCUUAAGUCUUGUACAAACCGAUACUCCGGAUCACCAUCAGAAUCUUGCCUGUUCUUUUUAACCGGCAGAAUCGGAGUGUUGUACAGAGAUUCACAGACUCUAAGGAUACCCAGUUUCAAAGAAUGAUUGAUUUGUUUUUGGAUACUCUUCUCUGCUUCCUUUGGGAUAGGGUAUUGUUUAACUGCAGGAGGCAAUCCCCCCUUUGUUUUUAUCGAGACUGGACUAGCUGAUUUCAGUAGUUCCACAUCCAUUCCUGAAGAGCUUCAUAACUUUUUAGAAACUGAUUCUAAACUUGUUGGAAUUUGCAGAUUAGUCGACUCUGGUUCUGGUGUCUUAGCCAGAACACAUGAGCCCAUAAUUAUUAAUUGUAUCCCUUCCGGCUGUAAACAGAUCUGCGUAUCCAAGGCUUGCAGGAGAUCUCUCCCUAAGAGGCAAGAGGGCGAGUCUGUGGAAAUUAUAAAACGUCCCCACACUGUUUUACCCCCAAUAGUGAGCAAUAAGGGCUUAGAUAACAUUCGUUCACCUUUUCCCAUGACUCCUUGCAUCACUAUUUUGUCUGAUGACUUGCAUCCUUUAGGCUCAAAAUUUAAAAGGGAAAGGGUGGCUCCAGUAUCUACUAGAAAGGGAACUUCUAAACCUUCUAUAUUUGCCAUUGUCUGCCCCUCAAAAUUCAAAUCUAUAUCCCAUAAAUUUACCCCAAUUUCCACAGUAUUUUCUGAGUCUCCUAUCUCCUGUCAUUGUGGGCUGACUGGGAAUUGCCUGGUCUCAUUCUUAGUGUUUGAUUUUCUCAUGCUGGCCCCUCUAUUCCCAAGUACACGGGGCCUCACUGGGCAUUCCUGCUUCCAGUGCCCUUGUUCCCCGCAAUAAUGACAAACAUCAUUAACUCUCAAUUGUACACCACGUUCACUUUGAUUCCAUCUACCUCCUCUGGUUCUGCCGCGCCCCCUCCCCUUGCCAGCCUGGCAUAUGCUCUUUAAAAUACUUUUGUGUAUCAGGGGCUGCUUGAUCUAUAAAAACACUAAUUGCGAGAGCAUCGUUGAAGUUUUGUGGGGUCAUUCCUCCAUAUUUUAGCAGGGCUUACCACAAAAGUCCCCAUAGUCGUGGGGGUGUUCAUCUAAUCACUGUCCGCAUUCUUGCACUUCAAUCCAAUUUACUCCUAACUCUCUGCAUGCUCUAAUUACUUCUGCUAAAUUCCAAAGUCCUGUUUGACACACAGCUCUAUCUCCUGCAUUAUUACAAUCCCAAUUUGGAUCAUUUGCUAGCCAGAGGUUUCUAUUCCCCCGGCUUGCUGCACUUCUUCCACAUCUUUAAUUAUCUUAUCCCAUUCUUUUGGUUGAAAUAAUUCCCUCAAAAGAAUUUGGGUAUCACUCCAGUUUGGGUUGUGCCCAGUGCAUAUAUUAGAAAAUAACUGGACACAUCGCUCUGCAUCCUUUCUUAAUCUCUGCAUUUUACCCCCCCCCCCCCAUAAGGCGAGAUCGCCAGGGUCCCGGGGUUGAUUAGUAAAUACCCACAGCACAGGAGGGGGGGACUGGCCCCUCCCUUUCCCCCCGGCUGUAAAGCGGCAGGGUUAGUCAGCACGUUGGGGAUCAUAGGAUAGAGUCCGGCAGCCGGUGGAGUAGAGGGAGAGGGAGGAGGAGAAGGAGAAGUAAUGACAGAGAGAUCAUCAGGCAUAUAAGGUGGAGCAGAAACUUUUGGAGCACAGUCCGGGGUACUAGUAUCUGCUCACACAAGUGUUACCUUCGGCAGGUUUCUUUCCUCCCUCCCUCCUGGCUCAAAUGCUUCCGUGCCCAUGCCCAGUUAUCCCAAACAUACCAGUAAUCCAUUAGACUUGGAAACCUGUCUUCUAGACGAUUUCACAAGGAAGUUAGUUCCUGCUGAUCAGAAGUCCCUUGCGGUGGCCACCAUUCUGCUGGGUUUCCCUCCUUUGUCAGGAAUGGGCAAUCCUCCUGACACAGCUGGAUCAACCUUUUUUCCUUAGAUUUUUUUGGUACUCCAGUUUUCCAAAAUUUUGGCUAAGGGCGUCCCCUUUUCUAUGCCGAAAUUAUUCCCCAUACUGAGUUUCUGAAAAGUGCGUCUUAAGCAAGUCAGGCAGCGCACUUCCUUACCAGUAACACCAGCCCCUGUAGCUGGUGCGAUCACACUCUCUUUCUCUCACUCUCUGGGAACCGCACUCCCACCCCCCGAGUCUUUAACUGCUAGGACUGCUGUCCCUGCGCAGCGGGCGGCUUCCUCAGCCGACGGGCGCCCCGGUCGGUUCCCAGGCUACACACACACACACACACACACACACACACACACACACACACACACACACAGAGUACUGUUCACGCUCACACCAGUCUCAGUGACUCUAGACUUCUGUCUUACAGUCUUGCAGUGCGCCUUAUGCUGAUCAGGCUGUGCAUCCCUGCUCCGGCUGGACCAAGCUGGGACUUACAACCCACUCAAACCCUGGGGAUGGAACUCGCACCCGUCCCCCUGGUACGCCUUACAGUGGCCAGCCCGUGUACCCCCCUGCCUGGUACGCCUUACGGUGAUCAGCCUGCCUACCCCUUACAGUGCACUGUUACCAGACCAGAAUUUAGAAUUUAGGCGGGAGUUUAAGACUCACCUUCUCGGUGCCUCUCGGUGCCAAAGAUCCCAGGUGAACUCACCCGAUGGCACCAGAUGAUCGUUUGGAGACGAGAGACCCCGACAGUGGUCGCCUAGGGUCCCAUCUGGGGUGCCAAACUGUUAUGGAAAUUAGGCUUGUCGGCCACCAUAACAGGGCUCGACCCUAGGUUCCCGCAAGUAAAGUUCAGAGCCAAAUCAAAACAAAUUAAAUUUUAAUCACGCGCGUGCCAUAAUUACAGCUCGAGCUGGGUGCCUCCUAAGAGGGACCCUAACAUAAACAAAUC